UAGCUAGUUGGUGAGGUAAAAGCUACACCAAGGCGACGAUCGGUAGCUGGUCUGAGAGGAUGAACAGCCACACUGGGACUGAGACACGGCCCAGACUCCCACGGGAGGCAGCAGUGGGGAAUAUUGGACAAUGGGGGGAACCCUGAUCCAGCAAUGCCGCGUGCGUGAAGAAGGCCUGAGGGUUGUAAAGCACUUUCAGUGGGGAGGAGGAUAUGUAGGUUAAGAGCUGACAUAUUGGACGUUACCCACAGAAGAAGCACCGGCUAACUCCGUGCCAGCAGCCGCGGUAAUACGGGGGGUGCGAGCGUUAAUCGGAAUUACUGGGCGUAAAGGGUGCGUAGGUGGUUUAAUAAGUUAUCUGUGAAAGCCCUGGGCUCAACCUGGGAAGGUCAGAUAAGACUGUUAGACUAGAGUAUAGGAGAGGGUAGUGGAAUUUCCGGUGUAGCGGUGAAAUGCGUAGAGAUCGGAAGGAACACCAGUGGCGAAGGCGGCUACCUGGCCUAAUACUGACACUGAGGCACGAAAGCGUGGGGAGCAAACAGGAUUAGAUACCCUGGUAGUCCACGCCGUAAACGAUGUCAACUAGCUGUUGGUCAUAUAAAUAUGAUUAGUGGCGC
rnacentral:rRNA from 1 species